GCCCACGUGGUGGAAUUGGUAGACACACCAUCUUGAGGGGGUGGCGGCGCAAGCUGUGUGAGUUCGAAUCUCACCGUGGGCACCA
rnacentral:tRNA from 1 species